CGGUAAACAAAGGGAAGCGAGACUGUGAAGUUAAGCAAAUCCCAAAAAUAACGUCUCAGUUCGGAUUGUAGUCUGCAACUCGACUACAUGAAGCUGGAAUCGCUAGUAAUCGCAGAUCAGAAUGCUGCGGUGAAUACGUUCCCGGGUCUUGUACACACCGCCCGUCACACCAUGGGAGUCGGAAAUGCCCGAAGCCGGUGAGCUAACCUUUUAGGAGGCAGUCGCCUAAGGUGGGGUUGAUAACUGGGGUGAAGUCGUAACAAGGUACC
rnacentral:rRNA from 1 species